rnacentral:rRNA from 1 species
UGGGGAAUUUUGGACAAUGGGCGAAAGCCUGAUCCAGCAAUGCCGCGUGUAUGAAGAAGGCCUUCGGGUUGUAAAGUACUUUCAGCGGGGAGGAAGGGGAUAAGGUUAAUAACCUUGUUCAUUGACGUUACCCGCAGAAGAAGCACCGGCUAACUCCGUGCCAGCAGCCGCGGUAAUACGGAGGGUGCAAGCGUUAAUCGGAAUUACUGGGCGUAAAGCGCACGCAGGCGGUCUGUCAAGUCGGAUGUGAAAUCCCCGGGCUCAACCUGGGAACUGCAUUCGAAACUGGCAGGCUUGAGUCUCGUAGAGGGGGGUAGAAUUCCAGGUGUAGCGGUGAAAUGCGUAGAGAUCUGGAGGAAUACCGGUGGCGAAGGCGGCCCCCUGGACGAAGACUGACGCUCAGGUGCGAAAGCGCGGGGAGCAAACA